UGACACAUCGGCUGUGUUGACACAGUCCAGGCUGCUAAUUGACACGUGAACUGCACCGGUGCAGUUUAGACUGCAUCGGCUGCUUGGCACAGUCCAGGCUGCGCCACUUUGUCCAGGGGGCGUCGACUCAGUGCAGAGGGCGUUGACGCAGCAAAAGCCCGCCACACAGUGUUUAUAAGGAACACCUGCCGAAACAAGCCAGACCUCACUCACGCUCGCUUGUCGAAGUUCGUGUCAGUGCAGACUUCGUGUUCGUGCCUUGCCUUCCUUGCCGAUUAUGGAGCAGAGACGCAAAUCAUCCGCCGUGUGGGACCAUUUUGAUGUCCCGGAGAAUAAGGUGAAAUGUCGAAUUUGCCAAGUCAAUUCGCCAACAGAAGCACCUCCACCAUGCUGAGGCAUUAUCGGGCCAAGCAUGAGAAUGAAGUUCGCGAUACACCCGGUAUUACGCCAGGUUCCAGGAAGCAGCUGUACUGGAAGGACCAACACACUUCUUUCCCAAACCUCUCCCACCUCGCAAAGGAGUUCCUUUGUACGCCAGCCUCAUCCGUCCCUUGUGAGCUUGUGUUCUCCACAGCAGGAGAAAUCGCUUGUAAAAGACGCAACAGGCUGAAGUUUAAAACAUUGGAGCAUCUUAUUUUUCUCAAUAAAAAUUUGUGAAAUAAAAGCCCACAAGCAUCCUCAUUCAAAUGAUCUUCACAUUAUUUGAACACAUUGAAUGUUGCAAAAUGAAUGCAUGGAUGUGAAUGAUAUUGUAUACACUUCAUCAUCAAAUCGAUGAAUGACCUUAUGAAAAUGUUUUGCAACAGUUGUAGAUGCAAAACCGUGCUGGC